UGAUGGGAAUAUAUAGCAGCAAUGUGGGGAAAGCCUGACGCAGCAACGCCGCGUGAGUGAUGAAGGCCUUCGGGUUGUAAAGCUCUGUCUUCGGGGACGAAAAAGACGGUAACUGAGGAGGAAGCCACGGCUAACUACCUGCCCGCAGCCCCGGGAAUAA
rnacentral:rRNA from 1 species